GCUCCUGAAUUGAGGAGGGGAGGAAGGUUUAAAAAUAGAGAGAAAAGAAGCAAGACUUAGACCUCCAGACAUUUCUCUUCUGCUGGCAUGUCAGGAAGGAAAGGAGGGUAACUGCCUAGAGGUUCUACCAAAUCCAAGCAAAGCUCCCCCAGACUGGGCUGUUCCCUCUGAGGCUAGCCCAGGCAGCAAAAGAAGGCCAAGACACUGGGCAGCACCAAGGCCAGUUCAUCUUUGGACUGCCCACCCCCAAAGUCCUGAGCUCCCCAAGUUAGGGAUCCUCAAGGAGAGGAAAAACACUAUGCCUACCCACAGGCACCUUCCCAGUGGCACAGAAACAGCUUUCUUAAAACCAUGCAUGCACCAAUCCCAAAGGGCCUCAGUAGCCCCAACAGCCUGGUGAAUUCAGGAUCUGAAAAUCUGUUUCAUUCUGGUCCAUACUGGAGAAGAACCAGCCCAGCCUGGGAUUUUCUAGAAAAUGCAGUGAUCGAAUUCUAAAGUUAAAUUCUAGAACACUGUCAUUUCCACUUAAGGCACAAUAAAACUAAAAACAAGUAGGAGCUGACUUUCGAGAGGGGAGCAGCCUACACUUCUCUUAGGGGCAAAGGCCCAUCAUGAAGACACAAAGGGCUCCUAGGUGGCCUUCAGCAAGGGGCUGUGCUUAUGAGACUGCAGUUCCUGGGCCCACGCCCAGGGAGAUGAACCCUCAGAAAUCAAGCCCUCUGAACCCGGAGGAAAAAGGGGAACACCACCCACCUCCUCUCCAUCUCCUCCCUUUCCAAAGUUCCAGGACCUGUGAAGACCCUAAACAGGACAAUGUGGAACUGGGUACAAGUGAAUAGAGAUCUGAAACAGAAACAUUCCCUAACCACGGGAAAAUUAUUAGAGGAAGAGCCCAAUACACGUGAAGACUGAGGAUCUCACCUGUUUUUAUGAAAUACACACUAAAAUGAAAAAAAAAAAAUCAGUGUAGAAAAAUUCCUUGUAAACAGAUCAAGAGAAGCUCUCAAAAGGCAGGCCAGAACGGCUCUCAAAAGGUGGGGCG